GCCGGCCUAGCUCAAUUGGUAGAGCAGCUGACUUGUAAUCAGUAGGUUGGGGGUUCAAGUCCUCUGGCCGGCACCA
rnacentral:tRNA from 2 species